UAGGGAAUAUUGGUCAAUGGGCGGAAGCCUGAACCAGCCAUGCCGCGUGCAGGAAGAAGGCCCUCUGGGUUGUAAACUGCUUUUGACGGGGAACAAGUCGGCCAUGCGUGGCUAAGUGAGUGUACCCGUAGAAUAAGCCACGGCUAACUACGUGCCAGCAGCCGCGGUAAUACGUAGGUGGCAAGCGUUGUCCGGAUUUAUUGGGUUUAAAGGGUGCGUAGGCGGCCAUGUAAGUCAGUUGUGAAAUACCCCGGUUCAACCGGGGGGGUGCGAUUGAUACUGCGUGGCUUGAGUGGCAGCGAGGUUGGCGGAAUUGACGGUGUAGCGGUGAAAUGCAUAGAUAUCGUCAAGAACACCGAUAGCGAAGGCAGCCAACUAGGGGCCA
rnacentral:rRNA from 1 species